rnacentral:rRNA from 1 species
AUGCAAGUCGAACGAAGGCUUCGGCCUUAGUGGCGCACGGGUGCGUAACGCWGUGGGAAUCUGCCCUUGGGUUCGGAAUAACAGUUGGAAACGACUGCUAAUACCGGAUGAUGUCGCGAGACCAAAGAUUUAUCGCCCAGGGAUGAGCCCGCGUCGGAUUAGGUAGUUGGUGGGGUAAAGGCCUACCAAGCCGACGAUCCGUAGCUGGUCUGAGAGGAUGAUCAGCCACACUGGGACUGAGACACGGCCCAGACUCCUACGGGAGGCAGCAGUGGGGAAUAUUGGACAAUGGGCGAAAGCCUGAUCCAGCAAUGCCGCGUGAGUGAUGAAGGCCUUAGGGUUGUAAAGCUCUUUUACCCGGGAUGAUAAUGACAGUACCGGGAGAAUAAGCUCCGGCUAACUCCGUGCCAGCAGCCGCGGUAAUACGGAGGGAGCUAGCGUUGUUCGGAAUUACUGGGCGUAAAGCGCACGUAGGCGGCUUUGUAAGUCAGGGGUGAAAGCCUGGAGCUCAACUCCAGAACUGCCUUUGAGACUGCAUCGCUUGAAUCCGGGAGAGGUGAGUGGAAUUCCGAGUGUAGAGGUGAAAUUCKUAGAUAUUCGGAAGAACACCAGUGGCGAAGGCGGCUCACUGGACCGGUAUUGACGCUGA